rnacentral:rRNA from 1 species
GAUGAACGCUGGCGGCGUGCCUAAUACAUGCAAGUCGAGCGAACAGACGAGGAGCUUGCUCCUCUGACGUUAGCGGCGGACGGGUGAGUAACACGUGGAUACCCUCCCUAUAAGACUGGGAUAACUUCGGGAAACCGGAGCUAAUACCGGAUAAGAUAUUGAACCGCAUGGUUCAAUAGUGAAAGACGGUUUUGCUGUCACUUAUAGAUGGAUCCGCGCCGGAUUAGCUAGUUGGUAAGGUAACGGCUUACCAAGGCAACGAUGCGUAGCCGACCUGAGAGGGUGAUCGGCCACACUGGAACUGAGACACGGUCCAGACUCCUACGGGAGGCAGCAGUAGGGAAUCUUCCGCAAUGGGCGAAAGCCUGACGGAGCAACGCCGCGUGAGUGAUGAAGGUCUUCGGAUCGUAAAACUCUGUUAUUAGGGAAGAACAAAUGUGUAAGUAACUAUGCACGUCUUGACGGUACCUAAUCAGAAAGCAACGGCUAACUACGUG